rnacentral:rRNA from 1 species
GGUGCGUGUUUUUCUUUCCUGGCUUUCGCGCCUUUUUUUAUAUAAAAUUUCCCGUUGUGAAUGUUCGGAUUGCGGCGACGUGGGCGGUCCGCUGCCUGCGACGUUGUGAGAAGUCCACUGAACCUUAUCAUUUAGAGGAAGGAGAAGUCCGUAACAAGGUUUCCGUAGGUGAACCUGCGGAAGGAUCAUUUGUCGAUGCCUUACAUGCAGACCAACACGUGAAUCAGUUUGAACACAUAUGGUUGGUUUGAGGUGUUCGACACCUCGGCUUGCCUCUGGUUCGGAGGUGGACGACGAAGUGCGUUCUCCUUUGUGCCAAAACACAAACCCCGGCGCUGAAUGCGUCAAGGAAUUUUAAAUUUGCUCUUAGCGCACCUGCUUGGCACCGGAGACGGUUUUCAUGCGGGUUGUGUUAUGACACAUAAUAUAGAAUGACUCUCGGCAACGGAUAUCUAGGCUCUUGCAUCGAUGAAGAACGUAGCGAAAUGCGAUACUUGGUGUGAAUUGCAGAAUCCCGUGAACCAUCGAGUCUUUGAACGCAAGUUGCGCCCGAUGCCAUUAGGUUGAGGGCACGUCUGCCUGGGCGUCACAUAUCGAAGCCUCUUGCCAAUUUCCUUUUGAUAGGUGUUGUGCGUGGGGAAAGUUGGCCUCCCGUGAGCUCCAUUGUCUCAUGGUUGGUUGAAAAUCGAGACCUUGGUAGGGUGUGCCAUGAUAGAUGGUGGCUGUGUCACGCACGAGACCAAAUCAUGUGCUGCUCUAUUGAAUUUAGCCUCUUUUACCCACAUGCGUUUCUAAACGCUCGUGAUGAGACCUCAGGUCAGGCGGGGCUACCCGCUGAAUUUAAGCAUAUCAAUAAGCGGAGGAAAAGAAACUAACAAGGAUUCCCUUAGUAACGGGACAGCGGGAGGGUAUUUAUAUAUAAAAAAAGAAGGAAAUAAAAAGGGUAGGUUUUGGGGAAUU